rnacentral:rRNA from 1 species
GAUGAACGCUGGCGGCGUGCUUAACACAUGCAAGUCGAACGGAAAGGCCCCUGCUUGCAGGGGUUCUCGAGUGGCGAACGGGUGAGUAUCACGCGGGUGUUAUGCCCUGCACUUCGGGAUAAGCCUUUGAAACUGGGUCUAAUACCGGGUAUGACCCCACUAUGGGUGGGGUGGUGGAAAGUUUUGCGGUGCGGGAUGAGCUUGCGGCCUAUAAGCUUGUUGGUGGGGGAAUGGCCUACCAAGACGGCGACGGGGAGCCGGCCUGAGAGGAUGUACGGCCACACUGAACCCCAGAGACGGCCCAGAGUCGGACGGGAGGCAGCAGUGGGGAAUAUUUCACAAUGGGCGCAAGCCUGAGGCAGCGACGCCGCGUGGGGGAUGAAGGCCGUCGGGUUGUAAGCACCUGUCGCUAGGGACGAAGCGUUUUUGUGACGGUACCUGGAGAAGAAGCACCGGCUAACUACGUG